AUGAGUCCACCAUACCUACCUAUAUAUUGUAUCUACCUGCCGUUCCAAGUAAAUUUGUAUGUGCCAAAUGCUAAACCUUCAAAUAAACAUUCUGUUUCGUAUGCUCGAAUAGCUCAUGUAUCAACUAGGGUUGUCCGUAUCUUCCAUGUUAGGCGGGUUAUUCUCAAGAGGAGUGGACUCCGCUCCUCACUCACGAGAAAGUGGCUGGUCACCGGGAUGCCCAGUCCCAUGCUUUAUGCAAAUCAAAUCAAAAUAAUUGCAAACAAAAAUUCCCUGGGACUCUUAUUAGUUGGAGGCACUCGUUGUCUCGAGCAAGGCAUGGAUUGA
rnacentral:rRNA from 1 species